rnacentral:rRNA from 1 species
UNUNUCGNGAAGAACCUUCNGGGCUUGAAAUGCNCGGAAAANCCGCAGAGANGGGGUGCCUUUGGGGCCGUGCACAAGUGGUGCAGNUGUUNUCAGCUUGUCGUGAGGAGUUGGGGUAAAUUCCGCAACGAGCGCCACCCCUGUCCUAUGUUUCCCGCGGGUUAUGUCGGGGACUCAUAGGAGACUGCCGGGGUCAAACCGGAGGAAGGUGGGGANGACGUCAAGUCAUCAUGCCCCUUAUGUCCUGGGCUNCCCCCAUGGUACAAUGGCCGGUACAAAGGGGUGCGAUCCCGUGAGGGGGAGCGAAUUCCAAAAAGCCGGUCUCAGUUCGGAUUGGAGUCUGCAACUUGACUCCAUGAAGUNGGAGUCGCUNGUAAUCGCNGNUC